UACGUAGGUGGCGAGCGUUACUCGGAGUUACUGGGCGUAAAGGGUCCGUAGGUGGCCGUCUAAGUCUGAGGUGAAAGCCUGCAGCUCAACUGCAGAACUGCCUUGGAAACUGGAUGGCUAGAGUGCAGGAGAGGUAAGUGGAAUUUGUGGUGUAGCGGUGGAAUGCGUGGAUAUCACAAGGAACACCAGAGGCGAAAGCGGCUUACUGGACUGCAACUGACACUGAGGGACGAAAGCCAGGGGAGCAAAAAGG
rnacentral:rRNA from 1 species